UACGAAGGGGGCUAGCGUUGUUCGGAAUCACUGGGCGUAAAGGGCGCGUAGGCGGCUUUGUAAGUCGGGGGUGAAAGCCUGUGGCUCAACCACAGAAUUGCCUUCGAUACUGCAUGGCUUGAGACCGGAAGAGGUAAGUGGAACUGCGAGUGUAGAGGUGAAAUUCGUAGAUAUUCGCAAGAACACCAGUGGCGAAGGCGGCUUACUGGUCCGGUUCUGACGCUGAGGCGCGAAAGCGUGGGGAGUAAACAGG
rnacentral:rRNA from 1 species